AUGCAGGAGAUGGUGGCCGCACACGGGGCCGGCGGCUGGGGCUGGGGCUGGCUGGAGGAGAUGCUGGGGUGGUACCUGCGCGCCAAUGGCAAGGACACGCACGACACCAUCGUGACGGCCUUCGUCAACGUCAUCGUCUCUGUCGCCGACCCCGGCCGCGGCUCCUCCUGCUCGUCCCAGAUCUCGUCCUGCGCGUCCGUGGACGGGGAUCAGGAAAAGAUAAGGGAUGAGAGGCACGCGUGUGAGCAGGUGGAACAAUGCAAGCGCCUCAGUGACCCGUCAGUCUCCAACAAGGGUUUUGAACUGAAUGCUCAUCAGAUUACCCAGGUUUGUAAAUGUGACACAAGUUUAUCAUUUCUCAUUGUAUGGAGUGAACCGAGACAUCAACUAGCUGGACGUGGAAGUGUUGUUCCUGAAGGUAGAUGUUUGAACUAUGAAUCUGUUUUGCAGGAGAAGUAUGAGGUUGUGCUUGACAAGAUCUCCAGGCUGGAGGAGAUGGCUUCUCUGUUCAUUUAUAUUCUCCUUGAAGCACAAACGUAUUUUGCUAAAAAAAAGGGCAACCUGGUGCAUGUAGCUCCCGCUUGCGCAGGGUCCAGGGAAGGGUCCGACCACUUUGGGUCUAUAACGUUGGGACCGGCAUCCUCGCGCCAAGGCGUGGUACCGAUCUACGCGUCGAGCGCUGGCGUCGCCACCGCCGGAGCUCCGCCGAGCGUCGGCCUCGCGCGCAGCCUCUUCUUGCCGCCGCGGAUGACUACAGCGCCGGCGCCGGGUGGCGUCGCGCUGGCGCCAUCCCGUGCCGCCGCCGCACCGUCGAAGAAGGUACCCAAUGCGGCGCGGGCGAAGAAGGCCAAAACAUCCGCGAAGAAGAACAAGGCGGCGGACGGCUCCGGCAUGGCGAGGGGAAAAAAGCUUGCAGGGCGUUUGACGGCCGCGGCGGCUACCGAAGCGCCGGCGAGCUCACUCGUUGAGCCGGCCGCCGACGCGCACCACGUGUUCGACGAAAUGCCCCCAAGUCUCAACGAUGAUGCAUACAUGUCCACUAUGGGUGUUGGGUCCAACAAUUCGCAUUGGUCUCAAACCAAUGACAUCCAUUUCGAAGACCAUGAGUUUGAGGUGGACGAGGAGGGUGAGGGAAUUGUCGAGGCGCCGAGAGGAAGAGCGGGCAAUUACUCCACCACCGACGACAAGUUACUAUGCUCCACUUAUUUGCAUGUGUCGAAGGAUCCAUCCAUUGGAGGUGAUCAAAGUAGAGACGCGUAUUGGGGGCGAAUGACAGAACACUUUAAUGCUCACAACAAGAGUGGAAUUUACCACUCCGAGAGAUCACUUCAGUCCCGAUGGUCGACAAUCAACUCGGAUUGUCAAAAGUGGGCGGCCGCGCAAAAGUCGGUGGACAAGAUUAACCCAAGUGGCACAAAUGAAGAUGAUCGAUACAACAUUGCACAAAACUUGUUCAACCAAGAGACAAGGACAACCAAGAAGGGGAAGAUCAAGAAAGGCAGGAUCUUUACCUUGCCUCAUUGCUAUGAAGUGUUAAAGGAUGAUGAGAAAUGGAAGAAGCGUGAUGAUUUGGAGGAUUUGCAUUUGAGCAACAAACGGAAGCAAGCAAUUGAGAUGAAUGAUGAUGAUGAGGAGGAUGAUGCAUCAAGUGAUGACGGCAAGAGAAGCCCCACACCCAACUCGGUUUCAUACUCGAAGCCAAAACGACCGGAUGGGUGCAAGAAAGACAAAACCGAAAAGAAGAAGAAGAAAGGAGAUGAUGAGCUUAAAAAUGCUAUGGAAGCUAUUGUGAAGGCAAGGGUCGAAGCGAAUGAGGUGAGGAAAAUGACAAGGAACCAAGAUGCCGUGGCCGAGGAGAGGAGGUUGGCGGUCGAGGAGAGAAGGGUGGCGGCCGAGGAGAGAAAGGCGACUUUGGAGGAGAGGAAAAGCCUUGGUUCGUGCAAUGGGUGGCGAUGGCCUCGGCGCGGCAUGGGUGGCUCCGGCGCCAUGGGAGGCGGUGGCCUCGGCGCCAUGGGAGGCAUGGGUGGCCUCGGCGCCAUGGGAGGCGGUGGCCUCGGCGCCAUGGGAGGCAUUGGUGGCUUUGGAGGCAUGGGAGGCAUGGGUGCACCUCCGGCCGCCAUGGGAGGCAUGGGUGGCUUUGGAGCACCCUCCGACGCUAUGGCCGCCAUGGGAGGCAUGGGUGCACCUCCGGCCGCCAUGGGAGGCAUGGGUGGCUUUGGAGCACCCUCCGACGCUAUGGCCGCCAUGGGAGGCAUGAGUUUUGCUUCUCUCAUGGGAGGCAUGGGUGCACCUCCGGCCACCAUGGGUGCACCUCCGGCCGCCAUGGCUUCUCACACACAUUUCCAUGAAGAUGCCGUUGAAGAUCUUGCCAACACUGUCGGAGCUUCACAUGAUGCGGUGCGUGAUGUGGUGCGUGAUGAGGAUAGGGAGGAAGGUUCAUCUUCGGAGGCGGAAGAGUCGUCUUCGGAAGAUGAGGACGAAGACGAAGAAGAAGAAGAUGAAGAUGAAGCUUGA
rnacentral:rRNA from 1 species